AUUCUCUUUGUUAUGAUAUAUAUAUAUUUUGCAGCAAUUUGUGUGGACGAAGAUGAUAUUGCAACAUAUACCAUAAAGAGCAUAGAUGAUCCAAGAACACUCAAUAAGACACUUUACAUUAGGCCUCCUAAAAACAUACUUUCCCAAAGAGAGGUUGUUCAUAUCUGGGAAAACUUCAUUGGUAAGGAGAUUAAAAAAUCAACUCUUUCCAAAGAAGAAUUUUUGGCUCCUAUGAAGGAGCUGGAAUAUGCAGAACAAGUUGGAAUGUGUCACUAUUAUCACGUUUGCUAUGAAGGAUGCCUUGUUAAUUUUGAAAUAGGAGAAGAAGGAGAAGAGGCAUCCAAACUCUAUCCAGAGGUUAACUACACUACAGCCCAAGACUACAUGAAGCGUUACGUCUAAGUCUAUAAGCAUCAUGUGUGGUAAUUCUUGGUUCUAAUUGGCUUUGUAAAAAAAUUAUCUUUGUUUUCGCUAUUAAUAAACUAUUUUCUUUUAUCAGAA